AUUGAACGCUGGCGGAAUGCUUUACACAUGCAAGUCGAACGGCAGCACGGGGCAACCUGGUGGCGAGUGGCGAACGGGUGAGUAAUAUAUCGGAACGUGCCCAAUCGUGGGGGAUAACGUAGCGAAAGUUACGCUAAUACCGCAUACGAUCUACGGAUGAAAGCGGGGGAUCGCAAGACCUCGCGCGAAUGGAGCGGCCGAUAUCAGAUUAGGUAGUUGGUGGGGUAAAGGCUCACCAAGCCAACGAUCUGUAGCUGGUCUGAGAGGACGACCAGCCACACUGGAACUGAGACACGGUCCAGACUCCUACGGGAGGCAGCAGUGGGGAAUUUUGGACAAUGGGCGCAAGCCUGAUCCAGCCAUUCCGCGUGCAGGAUGAAGGCCUUCGGGUUGUAAACUGCUUUUGUACGGAACGAAACGGUCUGCCCUAAUACGGCAGGCUAAUGACGGUACCGUAAGAAUAAGACACCGGCUAACUACGUGCCAGCAGCCGCGGU
rnacentral:rRNA from 1 species